rnacentral:rRNA from 1 species
CGUGCUUAACACAUGCAAGUCGAACGGAAAGGCCCUGCUUUUGUGGGGUGCUCGAGUGGCGAACGGGUGAGUAACACGUGAGUAACCUGCCCUUGACUUUGGGAUAACUUCAGGAAACUGGGGCUAAUACCGGAUAGGAGCUCCUGCUGCAUGGUGGGGGUUGGAAAGUUUCGGCGGUUGGGGAUGGACUCGCGGCUUAUCAGCUUGUUGGUGGGGUAGUGGCUUACCAAGGCUUUGACGGGUAGCCGGCCUGAGAGGGUGACCGGCCACAUUGGGACUGAGAUACGGCCCAGACUCCUACGGGAGGCAGCAGUGGGGAAUAUUGCACAAUGGGCGGAAGCCUGAUGCAGCAACGCCGCGUGCGGGAUGACGGCCUUCGGGUUGUAAACCGCUUUCGCCUGUGACGAAGCGUGAGUGACGGUAAUGGGUAAAGAAGCACCGGCUAACUACGUGCCAGCAGCCGCGGUGAUACGUAGGGUGCGAGCGUUGUCCGGAUUUAUUGGGCGUAAAGGGCUCGUAGGUGGUUGAUCGCGUCGGAAGUGUAAUCUUGGGGCUUAACCCUGAGCGUGCUUUCGAUACGGGUUGACUUGAGGAAGGUAGGGGAGAAUGGAAUUCCUGGUGGAGCGGUGGAAUGCGCAGAUAUCAGGAGGAACACCAGUGGCGAAGGCGGUUCUCUGGGCCUUUCCUGACGCUGAGGAGCGAAAGCGUGGGGAGCGAACAGGCUUAGAUACCCUGGUAGUCCACGCUGUAAACGGUGGGUACUAGGUGUGGGGUCCAUUCCACGGGUUCCGUGCCGUAGCUAACGCUUUAAGUACCCCGCCUGGGGAGUACGGCCGCAAGGCUAAAACUCAAAGGAAUUGACGGGGCCCCGCACAAGCGGCGGAGCAUGCGGAUUAAUUCGAUGCAACGCGUAGAACCUUACCUGGGUUUGACAUGGAUCGGGAGUGCUCAGAGAUGGGUGUGCCUCUUUUGGGGUCGGUUCACAGGUGGUGCAUGGCUGUCGUCAGCUCGUGUCGUGAGAUGUUGGGUUAAGUCCCGCAACGAGCGCAACCCUUGUUCACUGUUGCCAGCACGUUAUGGUGGGGACUCAGUGGAGACCGCCGGGGUCAACUCGGAGGAAGGUGGGGAUGACGUCAAGUCAUCAUGCCCCUUAUGUCCAGGGCUUCACGCAUGCUACAAUGGCUGGUACAGAGAGUGGCGAGCCUGUGAGGGUGAGCGAAUCUCGGAAAGCCGGUCUCAGUUCGGAUUGGGGUCUGCAACUCGACCUCAUGAAGUCGGAGUCGCUAGUAAUCGCAGAUCAGCAACGCUGCGGUGAAUACGUUCCCGGGGCUUGUACACACCGCCCGUCAAGUCAUGAAAGUUGGUAACACCCGAAGCCGGUGGCCUAACCGUUGUGGGGGAGCCGUCGAAGGUGGGACUGGUGAUUAGGACUAAAUC